ACUCAAAUGAAUUGACGGGGAUCCGCACAAGCAGUGGAUUGUCUGGUUUAAUUCGAUGGUAAGCGAAGAACCUCACCUGGGCUUGAACUGUAGCUGCAACGCUCCUGAAAGGGAGAAUCCUUCGAGGGUGCUACAGAGGUGCUGCAUGGCUGUUGUCAGCUCGUGUCGUGAGAUGUCGGGUUAAGUCCCACAACGAGCGCAACCCCUAUUCGAUGUUAUAUUACUUCGAACACUGCCACGCCAAAACGUGGAGGAAGGAGGGGAUGACAUCCAGUCAUCAUAUCCCUUAUGUCCAGGGCUACACAGGCAAUACAAUGGUCAUUACAAUGGGUCGCCAAACCGCGAGGUGGAGCUAAUCCCAUCAAAAAUGACCUCAGUUCAGAUUGCAGGCUGCAACUCGCCUGCAUGAAGGUGGAAUUGCUAGUAAUCGUGCAUCAGCAUGGCACGGUGAAUACGUUCUCGGAUCUUGCACACACCGCCCGU
rnacentral:rRNA from 1 species